rnacentral:rRNA from 1 species
GAUGAACGCUGGCGGCGUGCCUAAUACAUGCAAGUCGAGCGAACGGACGAGAAGCUUGCUUCUCUGAGGUUAGCGGCGGACGGGUGAGUAACACGUGGAUAACCUACCUAUAAGACUGGGAUAACUUCGGGAAACCGGAGCUAAUACCGGAUAAUAUUUUGAACCGCAUGGUUCAAAAGUAAAAGACGGUCUUGCUGUCACUUAUAGAUGGAUCCGCGCUGCAUUAGCUAGUUGGUAAGGUAACGGCUUACCAAGGCAACGAUGCAUAGCCGACCUGAGAGGGUGAUCGGCCACACUGGAACUGAGACACGGUCCAGACUCCUACGGGAGGCAGCAGUAGGGAAUCUUCCGCAAUGGGCGAAAGCCUGACGGAGCCACGCCGCGUGAGUGAUGAAGGUCUUCGGAUCGUAAAACUCUGUUAUUAGGGAAGAACAUAUGUGUAAGUAACUGUGCACAUCUUGACGGUACCUAAUCAGAAAGCCACGGCUAACUACGUG